rnacentral:rRNA from 1 species
AAUAGCUCACUAGUCGAGUCGGCCUGCGCGGAAGAUGUAACGGGGCUCAAACUGGAUACCGAAGCUGCGGCUGCAUACUAUGUAUGCGGGGUAGGGGAGCGUUGUGUAAGUCUGUGAAGGUGUGUUGAGAAGCAUGCUGGAGAUAUCACAAGUGCGAAUGCUGACGUGAGUAACGAUAAUGGGAGUGAAAAACUCCCACGCCGAAAGACCAAGGUUUCCUGCGCAACGCUAAUCGGCGCAGGGUGAGUCGGCCCCUAAGGCGAGGCAGAAAUGCGUAGCUGAUGGGAAACGGGUUAAUAUUCCCGUACUUCUUAUAACUGCGAUGGAGAGACGGAGAAGGCUAUGCCUACCGGGCGUUGGUUGUCCCGGGGAAAGGCUGUAGGCUGAGGUGUUAGGCAAAUCCGGCACCUUAAGGCUGAGAGUCGAGACCACUGGUCCUUUGUGACCGGGAAGUGGUUGAUGCCAUGCUUCCAGGAAAAUCUUCUAAGCUUCAGGUUAUAAGGAACCGUACCCCAAACCGACACAGGUGGUUGGGAUGAGUAUUCUAAGGCGCUUGAGAGAACUCGGGUGAAGGAACUAGGCAAAGUGGUACCGUAACUUCGGGAGAAGGUACGCCGCUGAAGGUGAUGAGACUUGCUCUCUGAGCUAUCGGCGGUCGCAGUGAAAAGGCCCCUGCAACUGUUUAUUAAAAACACAGCACUCUGCAAACGCGUAAGCGGACGUAUAGGGUGUGACGCCUGCCCGGUGCCGGAAGGUUAAUUGAUGGGGUUAGCUUCGGCGAAGCUCUUGAUCGAAGCCCCGGUAAACGGCGGCCGUAACUAUAACGGUCCUAAGGUAGCGAAAUUCCUUGUCGGGUAAGUUCCGACCUGCACGAAUGGCGUAAUGAUGGGGGCGCUGUCUCCACCCGAGACUCAGUGAAAUCGAAAUCGCAGUGAAGAUGCUGUGUACCCGCGGCUAGACGGAAAGACCCCGUGAACCUUUACUAUAGCUUCACAGUGGACUUUGAACCUGUUUGUGUAGGAUAGCUGGGAGACUUUGAAGCAGUGACGCUAGUUACUGUGGAGUCGUCCUUGAAAUACCAGCCUGGCAUGUUUGAGGUUCUAACCUAGGUCCCUUAUCGGGAUCGGGGACAUUGUGUGGUGGGUAGUUUGACUGGGGCGGUCUCCUCCCAAAGAGUAACGGAGGAGCACAAAGGUACCCUCAGCACGGUCGGACAUCGUGCAACGAGCGUAAAGGUAGAAGGGUGCUUGACUGCGAGACCUACAAGUCGAGCAGGUGCGAAAGCAGGUCUUAGUGAUCCGGUGGUUCUGUAUGGAAGGGCCAUCGCUCAACGGAUAAAAGGUACUCCGGGGAUAACAGGCUGAUACCGCCCAAGAGUUCAUAUCGACGGCGGUGUUUGGCACCUCGAUGUCGGCUCAUCUCAUCCUGGGGCUGAAGCCGGUCCCAAGGGUAUGGCUGUUCGCCAUUUAAAGAGGUACGCGAGCUGGGUUUAGAACGUCGUGAGACAGUUCGGUCCCUAUCUGCCGUGGGCGUUGGAGAUUUGAGAGGAGCUGCUCCUAGUACGAGAGGACCGGAGUGGACGAACCUCUGGUGUUCCGGUUGUCACGCCAGUGGCAUUGCCGGGUAGCUACGUUCGGACGGGAUAACCGCUGAAAGCAUCUAAGCGGGAAGCCUCCCUCAAGAUGAGAUCUCCCUGGGAACUUGAUUCCCCUGAAGGGCCGUUGAAGACCACAACGUUGAUAGGCUGGGUGUGGAAGCGUUGUAAGGCGUGAAGCUAACCAGUACUAAUUGCCCGUGAGGCUUGACUAU